rnacentral:rRNA from 1 species
GCAGCGCGGGCUUCGGCCUGGCGGCGAGUGGCGGACGGGUGAGUAAUGCUUGGGAAUCUGCCCAGUAGUGGGGGACAACCCGGGGAAACCCGGGCUAAUACCGCAUACGUCCUACGGGAGAAAGCGGGGGAUCUUCGGACCUCGCGCUAUUGGAUGAGCCCAAGUCGGAUUAGCUAGUUGGUAGGGUAACGGCCUACCAAGGCGACGAUCCGUAGCUGGUCUGAGAGGACGAUCAGCCACACCGGAACUGAGACACGGUCCGGACUCCUACGGGAGGCAGCAGUGGGGAAUAUUGGACAAUGGGCGCAAGCCUGAUCCAGCAAUGCCGCGUGUGUGAAGAAGGCCUGCAGGUUGUAAAGCACUUUCAGCAGGGAAGAACAGCGUGGGGCUAAUAUCCCCGCGUCCUGACGUCACCUGCAGAAGAAGCACCGGCUAACUCCGUGCCAGCAGCCGCGGUAAUACGGAGGGUGCGAGCGUUAAUCGGAAUUACUGGGCGUAAAGCGCACGUAGGCGGCUUGGUAAGUCGAAUGUGAAAGCCCCGGGCUUAACCUGGGAACUGCAUCCGAAACUGCCUGGCUGGAGUAAGGGAGAGGGAAGC